GCAGCAGUGGCUUACUGGUUAGGGCUUUGGGCUUAUAACCGAAGGGUUGCUGGUUCGAUCCCCGACCAGUAGGA
rnacentral:tRNA from 1 species